rnacentral:rRNA from 1 species
UUGACCUCAAAUCGGGUGAGACUACCCGCUGAACUUAAGCAUAUCAAUAAGCGGAGGAAAAGAAACUAACAAGGAUUCCCCUAGUAACUGCGAGUGAAGCGGGAAAAGCUCAAAUUUAAAAUCUGGGGGUCCUUGGCCAUCCGAGUUGUAAUUUAGAGAAGUGU